rnacentral:rRNA from 1 species
AUUGAACGCUGGCGGCAUGCUUUACACAUGCAAGUCGAACGGCAGCACGAAAGAGCUUGCUCUUUUGGUGGCGAGUGGCGAACGGGUGAGUAAUGCAUCGGAACGUACCGAGUAAUGGGGGAUAACUAUCCGAAAGGAUAGCUAAUACCGCAUACGCUUUGAGAAGGAAAGUGGGGGCUCUUCGGACCUCACGUUAUUCGAGCGGCCGAUGUCUGAUUAGCUAGUUGGUGGGGUAAAGGCCUACCAAGGCGACGAUCAGUAGCGGGUCUGAGAGGAUGAUCCGCCACACUGGGACUGAGACACGGCCCAGACUCCUACGGGAGGCAGCAGUGGGGAAUUUUGGACAAUGGGCGCAAGCCUGAUCCAGCCAUGCCGCGUGUCUGAAGAAGGCCUUCGGGUUGUAAAGGACUUUUGUUAGGGAAGAAAAGGAUAGUGUUAAUACCAUUAUCUGCUGACGGUACCUAAAGAAUAAGCACCGGCUAACUACGUGCCAGCAGCCGCGGUAAUACGUAGGGUGCGAGCGUUAAUCGGAAUUACUGGGCGUAAAGCGAGCGCAGACGGUUUAUUAAGCAAGAUGUGAAAUCCCCGAGCUUAACUUGGGAACUGCGUUUUGAACUGGUAAGCUAGAGUAUGUCAGAGGGGGGUAGAAUUCCACGUGUAGCAGUGAAAUGCGUAGAGAUGUGGAGGAAUACCGAUGGCGAAGGCAGCCCCCUGGGAUAAUACUGACGUUCAUGCUCGAAAGCGUGGGUAGCAAACAGG